rnacentral:pre_miRNA from 1 species
AUUAAGCUCAUUUUUCAGUUUCUAGAUACAAUAUUUUAACUCUUUCUUUUAUGUCAAUUUUUUGUGAUUAAUAUUUUCAUUGUUAUCAGAUGGUAAAAUAUGAAUAAUAGUUUAUGCAUGACUAAUUUUUAAAGUUUUUAUAUAAAUUUUUUAAAUAAAACGAAUGGUCAAAGCGUUGGACACAGAAAUCGAAAAAUAAGAUUAUU